UGGGGAAUAUUGCACAAUGGGCGCAAGCCUGAUGCAGCCAUGCCGCGUGUAUGAAGAAGGCCUUCGGGUUGUAAAGUACUUUCAGCGGGGAGGAAGGCGUUGUGGUUAAUAACCACAGCGAUUGACGUUACCCGCAGAAGAAGCACCGGCUAACUCCGUGCCAGCAGCCGCGGUAAUACGGAGGGUGCAAGCGUUAAUCGGAAUUACUGGGCGUAAAGCGCACGCAGGCGGUCUGUCAAGUCGGAUGUGAAAUCCCCGGGCUCAACCUGGGAACUGCAUUCGAAACUGGCAGGCUAGAGUAUUGUAGAGGGGGGUAGAAUUCCAGGUGUAGCGGUGAAAUGCGUAGAGAUCUGGAGGAAUACCGGUGGCGAAGGCGGCCCCCUGGACAAAGACUGACGCUCAGGUGCGAAAGCGUGGGGAGCAAACAG
rnacentral:rRNA from 1 species